rnacentral:lncRNA from 1 species
AAUAUACUUCAUUGCCAGGCUUAUACGUGCAAGCUUUUUGAAACAGUUUUUUCUCUGGAUGUGGAUAGCGUUCUUUCUCAUAAUUUCCACUGGAUUGUCCUGGAUCAUCACAUUGCUACUAGUAGAAAAACCGGUUACAUUUGCUUAUGCCAAAAUGUUUCAGUCUCUGUGUACAAUGUUCUCCUGCUUCUGCUCCUUUCACUGCACCAGUUCCUGAAGUUCUUUCCAGUUCACAUGGAAUUCCUCCAGUUCAUUCCUUUCAGCACAAAAGUAUUCCAUCACCAUCAGAUGCCGCAAUUUGUUCAGCUAUUCCCCAAUCAACAGAUAACCCCUCAUUUUCCAAUAUUUUGCCAUCACAGAAAGUGUAACUAUAAAUAUUUUUGUACAUGUCUUUUUCUUUAUUAUCUCUGUGGGGUACAAACCCAGCAGUGGUAUGGUUGGGUGAAAGGGUAGGAAUUCAUUUAAAGCCCUUUGCACAUAAUUCCAAAUUGAACUCCAGGAUGGUAGGACCAAUUCACAACUUUACCAGCAAUGCAUUAAUGUCUAGACUUUGCCACAUCCCCUCCAACAUUUAUUACUUUCCUUUGCUGUCAUGUUAGCCAGUUUGCUAAGUGUGAGGUGUUUCAUGUGCUUUUUGAUAGCUUUGAUUUCAUCAUGUGAAAACUGCCUAUUCAUGUCCCUUGACCAUUUGUCGAUUGGGAAUGGCUUGAUUUUUUUGUAAAUUUGACUUAGGUCAUUAUUUAUUUGGGAAAUUAAGCCUUUGUCAGAGAGUUUUGUUAAUUUUUUUUUCUAAUUUUGGUUGCACUGGUUUUGUUUGAACAAAAUCUUUUUAAUUUGUUAUAACCAAAGUCAUUCAUUUUACAUUUUUUAAUAUUCUCUCUCUCUUGCUUGGUCUUAAAUUCCUUCCUUUCCCAUAGAUAUUACAGGUAUAUUAUUCUAUGUUCACCUAAUUUGCUUAUGAUUUCAUUCUUUAUAUUUAAGUCAUUUAGCCAUUUUGAAUUUAUCUUGGUAUAGGGUGUGAGAUGUUUAUCUAAACCUGAUUUUUCCCAGACUGUUUUCAAAUCUUCCCAGCAGUUUUUCUCAAAGAGUGAACUCUUGUCCCCAACGCUGGGAUCUUUGGGUUU